rnacentral:ncRNA from 2 species
GGAAUUCUUCGGGGCAGGGUGCUGCGGAUGACGCAUAUUCCCGACCGACGGUAUAGUCCGUGAACUGCUUUUUGCAGCCGAACCGGUGAGAUUCCGGUACCGACAGUAUAGUCUGGAUGAGAGAAGAAAAAG